AACGAACGUUAGCGGCGCGCUUAACACAUGCAAGUCGUGCGAGAAAGGGGCAACCCCGGUAAAGCGGCGCACGGGUGAGUAACACGUAGGUAAUUUACCCCCAGGUGGUGGAUAACCUUCCGAAAGGAGGGCUAAUACAGCAUGAGACCACGAUCCCGCAAGGGAUUGAGGUCAAAGCCGGCCUCUUCAUGAAAGCUGGCGCCAGGGGAUGAGCCUGCGGCCCAUCAGCUAGUUGGUAGGGUAACGGCCUACCAAGGCGAAGACGGGUAGCUGGUCUGAGAGGAUGAUCAGCCACACUGGAACUGAGACACGGUCCAGACUCCUACGGGAGGCAGCAGUGGGGAAUCUUGCGCAAUGGGCGAAAGCCUGACGCAGCGACGCCGCGUGAGUGAUGAAGGCCUUCGGGUUGUAAAGCUCUGUGGAGGGGGACGAAUAAGUCGUGGCCAACAUCCACGAUGAUGACGGUACCUCUUUAGCAAGCACCGGCUAACUCUGUGCCAGCAGCCGCGGUAAGACAGAGGGUGCAAACGUUGUUCGGAAUUACUGGGCGUAAAGCGCGUGUAGGCUGCUCUGCGAGUCGGAUGUGAAAGCCCUGGGCUCAACCUAGGAAGUGCAUUCGAAACUGCAAAGCUUGAGUCCUGGAGAGGAAGGCGGAAUUCUCGGUGUAGAGGUGAAAUUCGUAGAUAUCGAGAGGAACACCGGUGGCGAAGGCGGCCUUCUGGACAGUGACUGACGCUGAGACGCGAAAGCGUGGGGAGCAAACAGGAUUAGAUACCCUGGUAGUCCACGCCGUAAACGAUGGGUGCUAGGUGUCGCGGGCUUUGACCCCUGCGGUGCCGUAGCUAACGCAUUAAGCACCCCGCCUGGGGAGUACAGCCGCAAGGCUA
rnacentral:rRNA from 1 species